rnacentral:rRNA from 1 species
CAAUGCCGCGUGUUGUGAAGAACGGCCUUCGGGUUGUAAAGCACUUUUGUCCGGAAAGGAAUUCGUCACUCUAAUACCAGGUCCGGGGGAUGACCGGUACCGGAAGAAAUAAGCACCGGGCUUAACUACGUGCCAGCAGCCCGCGGUAAAUACGUAGGGGUGCGAGCGUUUAAUCGGGAAUUUACUGGGCGUAAAGCGUGCGCAGGCGGUUUGCUAAGACCGAUGUGAAAUCCCCGGGCUCAACCUGGGAACUGCAUUGGUGACUGGCAGGCUAGAGUAUGGCAGAGGGGGGGUAGAAUUCCACGUGUAGCAGUGAAAUGCGUAGAGAUGUGGAGGAAUACCGAUGGCGAAGGCAGCCCCCUGGGCCAAUACUGACGCUCAUGCACGAAAGCGUGGGGAGCAAACAGGAUUAGAUACCCUGGUAGUCCACGCCCUAAACGAUGUCAACUAGUUGUUGGGGAUUCAUUUCCUUAGUAACGUAGCUAACGCGUGAAGUUGACCGCCUGGGGAGUACGGUCGCAAGAUUAAAACUCAAAGGAAUUGACGGGGACCCGCACAAGCGGUGGAUGAUGUGGAUUUAAUUUCGAUGCAACGCGAAAAACCCUUUACCUACUCCUUGACAUGGUCGGAAUCCCGGCUGGAGAGGUGGGGAGUGCUCGAAAGAGAACCGGCGCCACAGGUGCUGGCAUGGCUGUCGGUCAGCUCGUGUCGUGAGAUGUUGGGUUAAGGUCCCGCAACCGAGCGCAACCC